rnacentral:rRNA from 1 species
UUGAAAGGGAAACGAUUGAAGUCAGUCGUACCUGUGGGUAAUCAGCCUUUUGGGUGUGAUUUUGUGGAGUGUGAGGAGUUAAACGCCUUCAUGCCUGCAUAUUCGUGCACUUUGGGUGUAUUUACCCGUGUGGUAAGUUAACAUCAAUUUUGGUCGUCAUAGAAUGGCUGGAGGAAUGUAGCUUCGAUCUCGUAUUGAAGUGUUAUAGCCUUCGGUAGAUGUGGUGAUCGGGAUUGAGGAUUGCAACGAUACCCUUCGGGGCUACCUGUCUGAUCUCUGAUCGUUGCUCUGGUGCCGAAAGCUUGCUUACGGUUAUCAAAGUCGAUGGUCAAUAGGUUAGAACGGGUUAAAUUCGUUAAGGAUGUUGACGUA